rnacentral:rRNA from 1 species
CCUACGGGAGGCAGCAGUGGGGGAUAUUGCACAAUGGGGGAAACCCUGAUGCAGCGACGCCGCGUGGGCGAAGAAGUAUUUCGGUAUGUAAAGCCCUAUCAGCAGGGAAGAAGAAAUGACGGUACCUGAGUAAGAAGCACCGGCUAAAUACGUGCCAGCAGCCGCGGUAAUACGGAGGAGGCGAGCGUUAUCCGGAUUCAUUGGGUUCAAAGGGUGUGUUGGCGGUCCGGAAAGUAAGCGGUAAAAGCCCGAGGCUAAACCCCGGCGAGCCGUUGAAACUGUCGGACUAGAGUCGGAGAGAAGUACGCGGAAUGCGCGGUGUAGCGGUGAAAUGCAUAGAUAUCGCGCAGAAC